rnacentral:rRNA from 1 species
AGCGAACGCUGGCGGCAGGCUUAACACAUGCAAGUCGAGCGGGCGUAGCAAUACGUCAGCGGCAGACGGGUGAGUAACGCGUGGGAACAUACCUUUUGGUUCGGAACAACACAGGGAAACUUGUGCUAAUACCGGAUAAGCCCUUACGGGGAAAGAUUUAUCGCCGAAAGAUUGGCCCGCGUCUGAUUAGCUAGUUGGUGAGGUAACGGCUCACCAAGGCGACGAUCAGUAGCUGGUCUGAGAGGAUGAUCAGCCACAUUGGGACUGAGACACGGCCCAAACUCCUACGGGAGGCAGCAGUGGGGAAUAUUGGACAAUGGGCGCAAGCCUGAUCCAGCCAUGCCGCGUGAGUGAUGAAGGCCCUAGGGUUGUAAAGCUCUUUUGUGCGGGGAAGAUAAUGACGGUACCGCAAGAAUAAGCCCCCGGCUAACUUCGUGCCAGCCGCCGC